CCUUAUGGGAGGGCGAAUAUAAAUUGCAGAAAUAAAAGUUUGAUCUGUAUUCAAAGCGGAGAAAACCUUGAAACUGUAGAAAAAGGGGGGUGCAUUUUUAAAAAUCUUCUUCUCAAGAACUACCGAGGCAAAUUCAACAUAGUUUAGCAUAAAUUAUCCUUAUGGGAAGGAAAAUAUAAAUUGCAAAAAUUAAGUGGAAAUUUUGUUUCAAAUCUGAGUUAUUACGAAAAUAAUAAUAAAGGAAAUGCGUGUUUCAAUCAGUUUAAUAGCUUCGGGUUAGGCAUCCGGUAAAAUGAUUCCAUACUUCUAAAACGAGGUUCUUUGUUUAAAGCAGCCAUGACAUUAUACGAAAAAGGGUCGAUCUGACUAUGAUGAAUUUGCUUGUUGUGCAACAGUUCGCGUAUGAAGGGAAAUUUUGAAACAUACAAAAUAUAUUGGUGCCGAUUUUGUGAAGUAAAUUGAGGCUAAAUAUUUCAAUGCGUUGACAGUUUUCACACAUGACGUUGGUGUUAGCUUGUUCUGAUUUUCGUUUCGUUCUCAUUAUGCUUUGUAACCUGGAAACUAUCGUCUGUAUUUCGUGAUUUUUACGUAUCAAAUCAAACAGAGACUUCGGUAAAUCAAACAGUUAACUGUUUACCUGCGCAAAUUAAGCAAAAUCGGAUGUAGGGGACGGGUACUGAAAUACAAUUCAUUCUAUCGGUAAUUCGGCAUUAUCUUUUGCGUAAUGGUACAUGUAGAUUAAUGCAAUAGGUUUUGUUGAGAUGCUCGGCAUUUUUUCGAGUUUAUUCAGUUUAAAUAGAGUUUGAUAUCGCUGACGGAAAUAUGUAGGUAUAUACAUGUAUAUAUAUAUGAUUCAUUUCGAAAAAAUAAAUUGUGUUCUUUAUUUGUUAUACAUGUAGUGCAUGUUUCUUGUGUUUAAUUGUUUACAAUUUCUAUUUACUAACCAUAUUUGAGUGUUAAGCUUCGAAUUAUAAGCAAGAUACAGCGAUUUGCUCACAAUUCUAUGUUUGUACACAGAUCUUAAAAACUAAAGCUUAAAAAAGUAAAAUAUUUGUCAAUAUUUAUUAAGAAAAUUUUCAAAGUCUGUUCUUCCAGAAACCAACUUUAACAACUUAUUGUAUUGUAAACUUAACCUUUUUAGCUCACCUGAGGGUGGGGCCACAAUGGGGGAUCGAAGUUUAAAAUAGGAAUAUAUAGAGUAAAUCUUUAAAAAUCUUCUUCUUAGAAACUAAUCAGCCAGGAAAGCUGACACUUUUGUGGAUGCAUCCUCAGGUAGUGUAAAUUCAUAGUUGUGAAAAUCAUGACCCCCGGGGGAAGGGUGGGGCCACAAUCGGGGAUCGAAGUUAAACAUAGGAAUAUAUAGAGUAAAUCUUUAAAAAUCUUCUUCUCAGAAACUAAUCAGCCGGCAAUGCUGAAACUUCUUUGGAAGCAUCCUCAGGUAGUGUUGAUUCAAAGUUGUGAAAAUAAUAACCCCUGGGGGUAGAAUGGGGCCACAAUGGGGGGUCGAAGUUUAACAUAUGAUUAAAUAGAGUAAAUCUUUAAAAAUCUUCUUCUCAGAAACUAAUUAGCCAGGAAAGCUGAAACUUGUGUGGAAGCAUCCUCAGGUAGUGUAGAUUCAAAUUUGUGAAAAUCAUAACCCUGGGGGUAGGUUUGGGCCACAAUGGGAGGUCGAUGUUUUAGAUAGGAAUAAACAGAGUAAAUCUUUAAAAAUCUUCUUCUCAGAAACUAAUCAGCCAGGAAAGCUGAAACGUGUGUGAAAGCAUCCUCAGGUAGUGUAGAUUCAUGGUUGUGAAAAUCAUGAUCCCCAGGGGUAGGGUGGGGCCACAAUGGGGGGGGGGGGUCAAAAUUUAACAAAGGAAUAUAUAGGGUAAAUCUUUAAAAAUCUUCUCAGAAACUAAUCAGCCAGAUGUUUCUUUAUAAUUGUUAAGACUUUGGCCCCAGGACAAUUCUUUGGCCUCCCGAGAAGGUUCAUAGUUUGAUGUACGUUUAUAUCUAAUAUAUAAACUAUUGUUAAGGAUCAUUUUGAGAACUGCAAUACUCAACAUAUGAUAAGACUAUAAAAUCAUCUUGUUAGAAAAGGGACUAAUGAUUAUAAACAUAAGAAUAUCCAGGGGAAAAUGGAUUUUAUUUAUACAGGAUCUACAUGUAUUAUUGUACAUUGUCCAGAUAGUUUGUAUUAUGACUCCAUUAAGCUGAUUUUAUCAUACCUAUUGUUCCUCAGGUGAGCGAUGUGGCCCAUGGGCCUCUUGUUGAAUCUCUGUUAAGUAAUAAAUAUUGAUAAGAAUCUCUUUUUAUAUUUUUUACCAAUAUUGUUAUCAAUAUUUGUUUUGAUUUUAUAGUUUGAUGUGGAUCUUUGUUUAUAUUUUAACAAAUAUUGAUAUAUUUUUUUUUUAUAUUAAACAAAUAUUAAAUGUAACCUUAGUGUAGCUACUAUAUAUACAUGUUCUUGUAUACUCAGGCAAAACAAACAAAAAAGCAUUAAAUAGCAACUAUAUAUAUAUAUUGUCUCAUAAUGUGAAUCUAAAACACAUGUCACAAUUUAUUUUUUUAUUACAGUUUUGUGAUUUUCCUAUACUUUUACCAAAACACAAAGAAUUGCCUCAACCUUUUGUAUUAGCCAAAAAAAUUACAUUUAUAUUUAUACCUGCUUUCUUUCUACUACAAUCCAUAUUAUUUUAAUGGUUUAAUGUUUAACUUUUAUUAGUGCCGUCUGGUUGGUCUAGUUUAAAUGACAAAAAAUGUGUCAAAUAUCUUCGUCAGUUGCUUUUAUGAUUUUUUUUGUGUUUAAAUAGUCAAAAUCCGGGGAUGAACCUCAGCGGCUCUCAGAUCCCAUGUUGUAUAAAAUUAUUUUGAUAAAAUGAAAUAUAUCGGAAAGGACACUUGCCAUUUGCAGCAUGCACUUUAUUUUGUGCCUAGCUGCUCCGCUUUGAUAGGAUAGAACAUUUUUUUUACUAUAUGAAUCUCUCAUUUUGUUUCUUAGCAUAGCAUACUCUAUAAAAUGACACAAGUUAGCAUGAUAGGCGAUCCAUUUCAAUGGAAUAGAGUGGUGCUUGUAUUUAUGUGCUGAUGUUUUUUUUUUUAAUUUUAUUUUUUAUUCAUGACUAUUAGAUUUACUUUAAUGAUGUUUUUUCAAGUCUUCAAAGGUGCUAGAAUAAAUAAAAUGUAGAUUUGAAUGUUAUUAGAAAUGUAUUAUUUGGAAAAGGAAAAACAAAAUAAAUAUGGUAGUUGUUUAUACUUUAAAUGUUGAUUAAUAAAAUUUCAUGUAUCAGUU